GGGACUAACAGAGUGAGGGACGGGGUAAUAAGUGGCAGAGUGAGGGAGGGAGUGACAGUUUGAGAAAGGGGUGACAGAUUGAGGGAGGAGCUGGCAAACUGUCACUCCCUCCCUCACUCUGCCACUUAUUACCCCGUCCCUCACUAUGUUACUCCCC
rnacentral:miRNA from 1 species